CCAAGGAGUCUAACAUGUGCGCGAGUCGUCAGGUCGUCCACAGCCGACGAAACCUGAAAGGCGCAAUGAAAGUGAAGGCCGACCGUUUCUCCCUCUCUUUGCGGAGAGGGGAUCGGCGGCCAAGGCGGGAUCCGAAAAAUAAAAUUUCAUUUCAGCCGGGGUGACCGUAUCACACGACCCGGCGUUUUUUCUCGUUUCUUCCCUUCCUUCGGGGGGCGGAAGAGCGGGGGCGUCGGGUGAGCAAACACGCUCGCACCCUGGUCGGCGCACCGCCGGCCCGUCUCAAUGCCGCAUCGUCGGUGAGGCGGAGCCAGAGCGUACACGUUGGGACCCGAAAGAUGGUGAACUAUGCUCGGGCAGGACGAAGCCAGAGGAAACUCUGGUGGAGGUCCGUAGCGAUUCUGACGUGCAAAUCGAUCGUCGGACCUGAGUAUAGGGGCGAAAGACUAAUCGAACCGUC
rnacentral:rRNA from 1 species